GUCGAGAAUCUUUCACAAUGGGGGCAACCCUGAUGGAGCGACGCCGCGUGGAGGAUAAGGUCUUCGGAUUGUAAACUCCUGUCAUGCGUGAACAAGGUUGCUUGGUUAAUACCUGGGCAAAUUGAUGGUAACGCAAGAGGAAGAGACGGCUAACUCUGUGCCAGCAGCCGCGGUAAUACAGAGGUCUCAAGCGUUGUUCGGAAUCACUGGGCGUAAAGGGUGCGUAGGUGGCGUGGUAAGUCAGAUGUGAAAGCCCGGGGCUCAAACUCGGAACUGCAUCCGAUACUGCCAUGCUAGAGUACUGGAGAGGUGACUAGAAUUCUCGGUGUAGCAGUGAAAUGCGUAGAUAUCGAGAGGAAUACCAAAGGCGUAGGCAGGUCACUGGACAGUUACUGACACUGAGGCACGAAGGCCAGGGGAGCGAACGGGAUUAGAUACCCGAGUAGUCC
rnacentral:rRNA from 1 species